rnacentral:rRNA from 1 species
CCUACGGGAGGCAGCAGUAGGGAAUAUUGCUCAAUGGGGGAAACCCUGAAGCAGCAACGCCGCGUGGAGGAUGAAGGUUUUCGGAUUGUAAACUCUUUUUGUUAGAGAAGAUAAUGACGGUAUCUAACGAAUAAGCACCGGCUAACUCCGUGCCAGCAGCCGCGGUAAUACGGAGGGUGCAAGCGUUACUCGGAAUCACUGGGCGUAAAGAGCGCGUAGGCGGGAUAGCAAGUCAGAUGUGAAAUCCUAUGGCUUAACCAUAGAAUUGCAUUUGAAACUGUUAUUCUAGAGUAUGGGAGAGGUAGGUGGAAUUCGUGGUGUAGGGGUAAAAUGCGUAGAGAUCAAGAAGAAUACUCAUUGCGAAGGCGACCUGCUAGAACAUAACUGACGCUGAUGCGCGAAAGCGUGGGGAGCAAACAGGAUUAGAUACCCGAGUAGUC